rnacentral:lncRNA from 10 species
CGCUCCUGCCGGUAGCCCGGGACCUGCAGAGAGACCUAGGAGUCGUGAUGCCAUUGGCAGCCCUAGGGGUGCUGUUGAUACACCAGUGGCCUCGGAGUCAGGACAUCUGGGUUCCACGUGGAUUCUGAUACCACCUUGCUGGGUAACUCUGGGGACUCUCUCUAAGACCCUGCUCUAUGCAGGGGAAGAGGAAGAAGAUGGUCUUAUCUUUCUGCCUCCAUUGUCUGUUCAUUGGGAGAUCUCUGCAAGGGUGUACCAUUCACUCAGCAAACACGAGUCAAUGACUCAGGUUGGUACAUGACCAGUGCCUGGGAAGCACCUUUCUUGAAGGCCUGGACUUAACCCAGAGAGCCCCACUUGAGGGGGCUGGGUGACCUCCCCUCCAGGACAGCCUGAAGCAAGAGGACACCUCCUUCUUCACACUUCCAGAGGAAUUUGUAUACUCUCCAGGGCCCUAAGAGAAUCCUGGUAAUUUGAAGCAAACGAAGGUUCCCUGGCUUGGCCCCACCUCUUCCAGAGGGAUGGACUGGUGCUGACAAUCUGGGGGACCUUGGGCAAGUUGUGUCCCCUCCCUGGCCUUAGUUUUCUCACCUCCGAAAGAAGGGGCUGGACUUGAAGAUUGCCAACACGCUCCCCUGCUCUAAUGCCAGGAUGGAGCACUGCUUCUCACCUCAAGGUCCCGGAGGACAGGGUGGUCUUCAAUUCCUGGGAACAGCACCCGCAUGGU